AUUGAACGCUGGCGGCAGGCCUAACACAUGCAAGUCGAGCGGUAGCACAGAGAGCUUGCUCUCGGGUGACGAGCGGCUGACGGGUGAGUAAUGUCUGGGAAACUGCCUGAUGGAGGGGGAUAACUACUGGAAACGGUAGCUAAUACCGCACAACGUCGCAAGACCAAAGUGGGGGACCUUCGGGCCUCAUGCCAUCAGAUGUGCCCAGAUGGGAUUAGCUAGUAGGUGGGGUAACGGCUCACCUAGGCGACGAUCCCUAGCUGGUCUGAGAGGAUGACCAGCCACACUGGAACUGAGACACGGUCCAGACUCCUACGGGAGGCAGCAGUGGGGAAUAUUGCACAAUGGGCGCAAGCCUGAUGCAGCCAUGCCGCGUGUGUGAAGAAGGCCUUCGGGUUGUAAAGCACUUUCGGCGGGGAGGAAGGCGGUGAGGUUAAUAACCUCACCGAUUGACGUUACCCGCAGAAGAAGCACCGGCUAACUCCGUGCCAGCCGCCACAGUAA
rnacentral:rRNA from 1 species